UUUUCCUACGGGAGGCAGCAGUAGGGAAUCUUCCACAAUGGACGCAAGUCUGAUGGAGCAACGCCGCGUGAGUGAAGAAGGUUUUCGGAUCGUAAAGCUCUGUUGUUGGUGAAGAAGGAUAGAGGCAGUAACUGGUCUUUAUUUGACGGUAAUCAACCAGAAAGUCACGGCUAACUACGUGCCAGCAGCCGCGGUAAUACGUAGGUGGCAAGCGUUGUCCGGAUUUAUUGGGCGUAAAGCGAGCGCAGGCGGAAUGAUAAGUCUGAUGUGAAAGCCCACGGCUCAACCGUGGAACUGCAUCGGAA
rnacentral:rRNA from 1 species